ACACAAUCAAUUUCAAUAGUAUUUUUUGAAAAAAAAAUCCCAAAUGUAUAUGCAGUAUGAUCUCAUAGCUUGAAUUAUUUCAAUCAUCCUCCAACACGUCUUCUUCAGUCUCUGAGAAUUGCGUUCGCUUCUACCUCAUCUUCUCAAUUCCCAUCAUCAUCUUCAUUCGACCAAAUAAUAUCCAUCCUAUAUAAAUCAAGAAAUAUUAAUCUGCUCCAUCCCCACAUCAUCAUUAGUAGACCAAAUAAUAUCCUAGAUGAAUGAAGAAAUAUUAAUCAGUAAAUUAUCAAAUCAGUAACUAGUAUAAUAAUAUGCUAUAUUCGAACAAUCACUUUGUAUAAAGCUAAGCAUAAGUAUUAUAACCAAAAUAUGGUUAAGAAGCCUAACAAAAUAUGAUACUGGAGCAAUGGAUAAUAAUCAUUAGAGCAAUAUUUUGUAACAAUAAGCAAGUAUGCUAAUAUUUGGAGUCAACAGCAAGAGUUGGAUUCUAAAUUUAGCAAGUAUUUACUAACCUAUAAAUUUGGACAUUAGUCCGUAUACAAGUUUAGAGAGGUCGAAAAAUGCAACACUGCCAUUAAAAGAUCUAUGUGCUUGCGAUAAUCUAGUCUAUCGGUUACAAAACCCUGUUAUGGUUAGUUUCUAUAGAUUAGAAAGUGAAAAGCAAAUUGAAAAAAAAGGCUUGAAAGUAAAUGAAAAUUAACAAUUGAGUUUCCAAGAAAGAGCUUCACUAUUCUUUUCAACUCCUUCACUUCCUUAUCCAAAAACUAUAAUACAAUGAAGAAUGCCAAACAAUGAGCAUGAAAUAAUUGCUACUUGAAGUAUCAACCAUCGCCAAUUAUAAAUUGUUCACAAACCUUGAAAGAGAGUAAAACUACUAUGAAGAG
rnacentral:lncRNA from 1 species